rnacentral:rRNA from 1 species
GAAAUCGAGUCUUAAUAGGGCGUUUAGUUGCUGGGUAUAGACCCGAAACCAGGCGAUCUAUCCAUGAGCAGGUUGAAGGUUGGGUAACACUAACUGGAGGACCGAACCCACUGUCGUUGAAAAGCCAGGGGAUGACUUGUGGAUAGGGGUGAAAGGCUAAUCAAGCCUGGUGAUAGCUGGUUCUCCCCGAAAGCUAUUUAGGUAGCGCCUCGGACGAAUACCAUAGGGGGUAGAGCACUGUUUCGGCUAGGGGGUCAUCCCGACUUACCAAACCGAUGCAAACUCCGAAUACCUAUGAGUACUAUCCGGGAGACAGACUGCGGGUGCUAACGUCCGUAGUCAAGAGGAAAACAAUCCAGACCGCCAGCUAAGGCCCCAAAAUCAUAGUUAAGUGGGAAACGAUGUGGGAAGGCAUAGACAGCUAGGAGGUUGGCUUAGAAGCAGCCACCCUUUAAAGAAAGCGUAAUAGCUCACUAGUCGAGUCGGCCUGCGCGGAAGAUGUAACGGGGCUAAAACUAUGUGCCGAAGCUGCGGAUGUAUACUUUGUAUACGUGGUAGGGGAGCGUUCUGUAAGCCGAUGAAGGUGUGUUGAGAAGCAUGCUGGAGGUAUCAGAAGUGCGAAUGCUGACGUGAGUAACGACAAAACGGGUGAAAAACCCGUUCGCCGAAAGACCAAGGGUUCCAGUCCAACGUUAAUCGGGGCUGGGUGAGUCGACCCCUAAGGCGAGGCCGAAAGGCGUAGUCGAUGGGAAAAUGGUUAAUAUUCCAUUACUUCUGUGUAAUGCGAUGAGAGGACGGAGAAGGCUAAAUCAGCCUGGCGUUGGUUGUCCAGGUGAAAGGAUGUAGGCAUGUAUCUUAGGCAAAUCCGGGGUACUCUAUGCUGAGAUCUGAUAGCAAGCUGUACUUGUACAGCGAAGUGGUUGAUGCCAUGCUUCCAGGAAAAGUCUCUAAGCUUCAGUUACACAGGAAUCGUACCCGAAACCGACACAGGUGGUCAGGUCGAGUAGACCAAGGCGCUUGAGAGAACUCUGCUGAAGGAACUAGGCAAAAUGGUACCGUAACUUCGGGAGAAGGUACGCUGUUGUUGGUGAUGGAACUCGCUUCCUGAGCUGACGACAGCCGCAGAAACCAGGCCGCUGCAACUGUUUAUUAAAAACAUAGCACUCUGCAAACACGAAAGUGGACGUAUAGGGUGUGAUGCCUGCCCGGUGCUGGAAGGUUAAUUGAUGGGGUUAGCGUAAGCGAAGCUCUUGAUCGAAGCCCCAGUAAACGGCGGCCGUAACUAUAACGGUCCUAAGGUAGCGAAAUUCCUUGUCGGGUAAGUUCCGACCUGCACGAAUGGCAUAAUGAUGGCGGCGCUGUCUCCAGCAGAGGCUCAGUGAAAUCGAAAUCGCUGUGAAGAUGCAGUGUACCCGCGGCUAGACGGAAAGACCCCGUGAACCUUUACUGCAGCUUGACACUGAACUUUGACCUUACUUGUGUAGGAUAGGUGGGAGGCUUUGAAGCUGGAACGCUAGUUCCAGUGGAGCCGUCCUUGAAAUACCACCCUGGUAAUGUUGAGGUUCUAACUCUGUCCCGUGAUCCGGGACGAGGACCGUGUCUGGUGGGUAGUUUGACUGGGGCGGUCUCCUCCUAAAGAGUAACGGAGGAGUACGAAGGUGCGCUCAGCGUGGUCGGAAAUCACGCGUAGAGUAUAAAGGCAAAAGCGCGCUUAACUGCGAGACCCACAAGUCGAGCAGGUACGAAAGUAGGUCUUAGUGAUCCGGUGGUUCUGUAUGGAAGGGCCAUCGCUCAACGGAUAAAAGGUACUCUGGGGAUAACAGGCUGAUACCGCCCAAGAGUUCAUAUCGACGGCGGUGUUUGGCACCUCGAUGUCGGCUCAUCUCAUCCUGGGGCUGAAGCAGGUCCCAAGGGUAUGGCUGUUCGCCAUUUAAAGAGGUACGCGAGCUGGGUUUAGAACGUCGUGAGACAGUUCGGUCCCUAUCUACCGUGGGCGCUGGAAAUUUGAGAGGAUCUGCUCCUAGUACGAGAGGACCAGAGUGGACGAACCUCUGGUGUACCGGUUGUGACGCCAGUCGCAUCGCCGGGUAGCUAUGUUCGGAAGGGAUAACCGCUGAAAGCAUCUAAGCGGGAAGCCUACCUCAAGAUAAGAUUUCCCUAGGACUUUAUGUCCUCUAAAGAGCCGUUCGAGACUAGGACGUUGAUAGGUUGGAUGUGGAAGCAUAGUGAUAUGUGAAGCUGACCAAUACUAAUUGCUCGUGAGGCUUGACUAU